rnacentral:rRNA from 1 species
GACGAACGCUGGCGGCGUGCUUAACACAUGCAAGUCGAACGGAAAGGCCAUGAUUUUGUGGGGUGCUCGAGUGGCGAACGGGUGUGUAACACGUGAGUAACCUGCCCCUGACUUUGGGAUAACUUCACGAAACUGGGGCUCAUACCGGAUAGGAUCUUCUGCUGCAUGGUGGGGGUUGGUAAGUUACGGCGUUUGGGGCACGACUCGCGGCGUACCAGCUUGUUUGUGUAGUUGUGGCUUUCCUAGCUUUCGAAGGGUAGCCGGCCUGGGAGGGUGACCGGCGACAUAGGGACUGAGAGACGGCCCAAGUACCGACGGGAGGCAGCAGGGGGGAAUAUUGCACAAGGGGCGGAAGCCGGAUGAAGCAGCGCCGCGAGCGGGAUGACGGCCUACGAGGUGAAAACCGCUGUCGCCUGAGACGAAGCGAGAGUGACGGUAAUGGGUAAGAAAGCACCGGCUAACUACGUG